rnacentral:lncRNA from 1 species
AUCUCUUAUGAUGAUUCAAAAUUAAUAACUUUCGUUCUUCUGAGAUUUUUCGUGCUGAAAGUUUUUUGGAGACCUGAACUGAAGAGAUUCGCUUAAAUUGUUUAUCAUAUAGUAUUCUGUUUAAUUCAAUUAUUGUUUUUGAAUGCUUCUGAUGAUGAUUCAAAUAAUACUUUCGUUCUUCCGAGGAUCUAAAUCCAUGCGGAAACAAUUAUUGGAGACCUGAACUGAAGAAGC